AUGGCGUACUGCUCAGUAACACGUGGAUAACCUGCCCUUGGGUCCGGCAUAACCCCGGGAAACUGGGGAUAAUUCCGGAUAACGCACAUAUGCUGGAAUGCUUUUUGCGUGAAAUGGAUUCGUCUGCCCAAGGAUGGGUCUGCGGCCUAUCAGGUAGUAGUGGGUGUAAUGUACCUACUAGCCUACGACGGGUACGGGUUGUGAGAGCAAGAGCCCGGAGAUGGAUUCUGAGACAUGAAUCCAGGCCCUACGGGGCGCAGCAGGCGCGAAAACUUUACAAUGCGGGAAACCGUGAUAAGGGGACACCGAGUGCCAGCGUCAUACGCUGGCUGUCCAGGUGUGUAAAAUACACCUGUUAGCAAGGGCCGGGCAAGACCGGUGCCAGCCGCCGCGGUAACACCGGCGGCCCGAGUGGUGAUCGUGAUUAUUGGGUCUAAAGGGUCCGUAGCCGGUUUGGUCAGUCCUCCGGGAAAUCUGACAGCUUAACUGUUAGGCUUUCGGAGGAUACUGCCAGACUUGGAACCGGGAGAGGUAAGAGGUACUACAGGGGUAGGAGUGAAAUCUUGUAAUCCCUGUGGGACCACCUGUGGCGAAGGCGUCUUACCAGAACGGGUUCGACGGUGAGGGACGAAAGCUGGGGGCACGAACCGGAUUAGAUACCCGGGUAGUCCCAGCCGUAAACGAUGCUCGCUAGGUGUCAGGCAUGGCGCGACCGUGUCUGGUGCCGCAGGGAAGCCGUGAAGCGAGCCACCUGGGAAGUACGGCCGCAAGGCUGAAACUUAAAGGAAUUGGCGGGGGAGCACAACAACGGGUGGAGCCUGCGGUUUAAUUGGAUUCAACGCCGGA
rnacentral:rRNA from 1 species